UCCGGUUUGUCACCGGCAGUCCCAUUAGAGUGCCCAACUGAAUGUGGCAACUACAGGCAAGGGUUGCGCUCGUUGCGGGACUUAACCCAACAUCUCACGACGCGAGCUGACGACAGCCAUGCAGCACCUUGCUUUGUGCCCCGAAGGGAAUUCCGCUUUCACGGAACGUCACUCGCAUUCUAGCCCAGGUAAGGUUCCUCGCGUAUCAUCGAAUUAAACCACAUGCUCCACCGCUUGUGCGGGCCCCCGUCAAUUCCUUUGAGUUUCGGUCUUGCGACCGUACUCCCCAGGCGGAGUGUUUCACGCGUUAGCUGGGCCCCUGAUCCACGUAGACCAAGGGCGAACACUCAUCGUUUACGGCAUGGACUA
rnacentral:misc_RNA from 1 species